UAGGGAAUCUUCGGCAAUGGACGAAAGUCUGACCGAGCAACGCCGCGUGAGUGAAGAAGGUUCUCGGAUCGUCAAACUCUGUUGUUAGAGAAGAACAAGGACGUUAGUAACUGAACGUCCCCUGACGGUAUCUAACCAGAAAGCCACGGCUAACUACGUGCCAGCAGCCGCGGUCAUACGUAGGUGGCAAGCGUUGUCCGGAUUUAUUGGGCGUAAAGCGAGCGCAGGCGGUUUCUUAAGUCUGAUGUGAAAGCCCCCGGCUCAACCGGAGAGGGUCAUUGGAAGCUGGGCGACGUGAGUGCAGAAGAGGAGAGUGGAAUUCCAUGUGUAGCGGGGAAAUGCGUAAAUAUAUGGAGGAACACCAGUGGCGAAGGCGGCUCUCUGGUCUAUAACUGACGAUAAGGCUCAAAAGCGUGGGUAGCAAACAGG
rnacentral:rRNA from 1 species